rnacentral:rRNA from 1 species
UACAGAGGGUGCGAGCGUUAAUCGGAAUUACUGGGCGUAAAGCGCACGUAGGCGGCUUGGUAUGUCGGGUGUGAAAGCCCCGGGCUCAACCUGGGAAUUGCAUUCGAGACUGCAUUGCUGGAGUACGGAAGGGGAAGGCGGAAUUCCCGGUGUAGCGGUGAAAUGCGUAGAUAUCGGGAGGAACAUCAGUGGCGAAGGCGGCCUUCUGGUCCAGUACUGACACUCAAGUGCGAAAGCGUGGGGAGCAAACAGG